GUGCUCGUUUCAGCAGCACAUGUACUAAAAUUGGAACGAUACAGAGAAGAUUAGCAUGGCCCCUACACAAGGAUGACACGCAAAUUUGUGAAGCAUUCCAUAUUUUU
rnacentral:snRNA from 1 species